rnacentral:rRNA from 1 species
AUUGAACGCUGGCGGCAUGCCUUACACAUGCAAGUCGAACGGCAGCGCGGGAGCAAUCCUGGCGGCGAGUGGCGAACGGGUGAGUAAUAUAUCGGAACGUGCCCAGUAGUGGGGGAUAGCCCGGCGAAAGCCGGAUUAAUACCGCAUACGACCUACGGGUGAAAGGGGGGGAUCGCAAGACCUCUCGCUAUUGGAGCGGCCGAUAUCAGAUUAGGUAGUUGGUGGGGUAAAGGCCUACCAAGCCUGCGAUCUGUAGUUGGGCUGAGAGGACGACCAGCCACACUGGGACUGAGACACGUCCCAGACUCCGACGGGAGGCAGCAGUGGGGAAUGUUGGACAAUGGGCGCAAGCCUGAUCCAGCAAUGCCGCGUGCAGGAAGAAGGCCUUCGGGUUGUAAACUGCUUUUGUCAGGGAAGAAAUCCUCUGGGUUAAUACCUCGGGGGGAUGACGGUACCUGAAGAAUAAGCACCGGCUAACUACGUGCCAGCCGCCGCAGUAACAC